AUGCAAUAUGGCACUUAUGUGCUUGUUCUGCAGGAAGGCCACGCGAUACCAGUGCGUGGAGCUUUUGCAGCUAUUCUAACAGAGCCGACUGGUGCACAGCACAUGGCAGGCCAGAUGCAGAAGAGCCUGGGCCGCCGGCGGCAUUUCACCAGCAACGAGCAUCCUUCAACCAAACUACCUCCUCCAUUAUGUUGGACUUUUAAAACUUUACUUGUUUUUUUAUUUUGCUUUACACAGCAAAAAUUUUAUUCAUUGAUCUGUUUAUUUUGCUCACAUCAUAUUAUAUUGAUUAAAGCUUUUUUCAUUAUGAGGGUGUAUGUCUUUAUUCCUAUCAACUUUGACCUUCCUCAGUCAAAUUUUAUAUAAAUUAAUAUGGUCUUGGAUCUCUCAGUAUUUCUUUAAUUUUUUUUGGCUAAAAACUAAUUUUACCAAGUAUAAUUUUUGCCACUGUUACUCUUAUUUUGUUUUUAUUUUUUUCUACCAGAAACAGUCACAAUGAAUUGAAUCAACUGCUGAGCAUUUAUUUUUCUUUCUUAGAUUAUCCAUGAGAAAACUGAGUGAAUUUGUGAGAUGUGGAGAGAGACAGAUGGAGAGAGAAAAGGCCUAAGAGGCAAGCCUCCAAGAGGCAGAGACAGGCCACAGUGCCCCUGCCAUACUGCCUGUAAAACACAAAGUCAGUGUUUUGCUUGGAGAACAAAAGUCACCACUCUUUAAAGGAAGAGGAGAAAAUCCAUGGUCCCUACAAAGUGUCACUCACAAAGUCGAGCACACGGCAAAAAAAAUACUAGAUGUGUAAAGAGAUAGAAAAAUGCAAAAAAAAAAAAAUGCAACCUGUCAUCAAGAGAAAAAGUGAUAACUAGUUCUCAAUGGAAAUUUUUAAAUCAUCAGUUGUACAUUUUAGAAGGACCACCCAGGUAGCCAGUAGCCUAAGGUCCAUUGAGAAAGGCCUGGCCUAGGAAGAGAUAGUGUCCUGUUAGCAGAAUCUCCUCCUGGGGCAGCCCAGGUGGCUUAGUGGUUUAGAGCUGCCUUCAGCCCAGGGUGUGGUCCUGGAGACCCUGGAUUGAGUCCCACAUCAGGUUCCCUGCAUGGAGUGGAGCCUGCUUCUCCCUCUGCCUGUGUCUGUGCCUCUCUCUCUCUCUCUCUCUCUCUCUCAUGAAUAAAUUAACUCUUAAAAAAAAUCUCCUCCUGGCU
rnacentral:lncRNA from 12 species